CCAAGGAGCGGCUGGGGUGCCAGGUCGAGACAGGCUACACAGAUAUCAAGUCACACACAUUUUUCCGCAGUAUAGACUGGGACCAGCUGGAGAAGAAAGAGAUGACGCCGCCCUUCAAACCUCAAAUCACUGACGACUACGGCCUCGAGAACUUUGACACGCAGUUUACUAAUGAACCAGUGCAGCUAACACCAGACGAUGAGGACGUCAUCAAGAGAAUAGACCAGUCAGAGUUUGAGGGCUUCGAAUACAUCAACCCCCUGCUGCUGUCCUCAGAAGAGUCUGUAUGAAGGAGAGCAGCUCCCCCCGCCCACCUCCGGGCUGUCCAAGCUGCCGUCUCAGCCAAACCCAGUCACAAGCCAACUCUGAGAGGCGAGGAUGAGGAGGAGGAGGAGGAAGAAGAAGAAGAGGAGGAGGAAGAAGAAGAAGA